CGACGUGGGUAACCUGCCCUAUACAUAUGGAUAACAUACUGAAAAGUUUACUAAUACAUGAUAAUAUAUAUUUACGGCAUCGUAGAUAUAUCAAAGUGUUAGCGGUAUAGGAUGGACCCGCGUCUGAUUAGCUAGUUGGUGAGAUAACUGCCCACCAAGGCGACGAUCAGUAGCCGACCUGAGAGGGUGAUCGGCCACAUUGGAACUGAGACACGGUCCAA
rnacentral:rRNA from 1 species